CAGCAAAGGGAUUCAGUUUUGUGUGUGUGUGUGUGCGUACUCAGUCAGUCAUAUCAGACUCUUUGUGACCUCAAGGACUGCAGCCCGCCAGGCUCCUCUGUCCAUGGAAUUUUCCAGGCAAGAAUACUGGAGUGGAUUGCUAUUUCCUACUCCAGGGAUCUUCCCAACCCAGGGAUUGAACCCAUGUCUCCUGUAUUGGCAGGCAGAUUCUUUACCCCUGCAUCAACUGGGAAGUCUCUCUCUCUAUUUUUUUUUUUUUCAGAUUAUUUCCCAUUAUAGAUUAUUAUAAGAUACUGAAUAUAAUUUCCUUCCUGUGCUAAACAGUAAUUCUUUAUUACUUAUCAGAUACAAACUACUAUGCAUGCUGUUACUUUUGAUUCAAAGUUUAAGUUCCUGGAAGAUGUCCCUGUUUAGCAGCUGAAAGUGAGGCUCAGGGUCAAAGGUAUUCCUUGUACAAUAAACACACAACCAUUUCUCAUCCUUUUCCAGGUUUUUUUUUGCAUCCCAUAAUCAAAAACUGUUAGGCUGCAAUGCUACAUGAGACAAUGAACAAAAUAAUCGAGCAGCCUCUGGUGAAUCUCUCUACUCACAUCUACAUGUAAGCCAGCAAUUAUCUUUCAAAAGCAGUAUAAUUCUCAGCUGCUAGAAGCAGUCCCUUAGUUUAGAAUCCUAAAUGUUUUUACUUUAGGAUCUGCCAUUCUCCUCAUUUCUCCCCAAAUCAUCUUGAUGGGAGAGGCAGAAAUCACAGAGACCUCAAGUCUCCUCUUUUCAAGGGGUAGAGCUGACCCAACUUGCCCAGGGUCAGUCAUUGAGUCUCCUCUGCACCUGAUUCAAAGUAUGUAGCCUUUUGGAUAACCCAAGAUGUGGCGUGUCUAAGAAUUCCAGGGUGGACCAAACUCAGACUCUAAAGCUCAAACACUCCCAUUAGCUGCUGUUUUUUGCUGUGAUGGGAGGUAUCACACACAUUUCACUACCUGUCAUGGACUUAGGUACUACUGCUCCAGGAAGCCCCCAUCCAUCAGCUGGAUGCCCUGUGGCCGGUUGGUCCCCGGAUCUGAUUGCACAUCCCCAACUCCUCAAGGACGAUGUUAAGAACUAUAGUGUCCCUGCCACUUACGUUUCAGGGCAUCUUUGCAGCAUCCUACAGUGGAACAUCUGGCCACUGAGAGAAGAAAGAAAACAAGGCUGCAGAAUGAUACCAUCUAAGAGAUGGGAGGCCUGGAACUGCUGUAACCCCCCUGCUCUCAGCCUGGAACGCAGCUGACACCUGGAGGACAUAGUUGAGAGAGCUAUGACUGACCCACACUUAAUCAUCACUCUAUCUACCAUGGUCUUUUUCAAUUAUGUUUGGGUUGGAUUUCCUGAGUUUAAGAACUGUUUAAAUUGGGUUCUCUGUUCCCUUAAUUUGAAAGUAUUCUUAACUGGCACAUCCUGAUGGGUCUCUCUGAGCAAAUAUAAAUCCACUGAAGGAGAUGGUGAUUCCCUCAGGUUCCCAAGGAGCAGAAGGGUCAGGCUCCAUGGAGAAUCUGUAGAAUUUGGUCUCCAACUUAGCAUCACUGGAUUUCUGGAAAUAAUAAUUUCACUCAUCUGCUGUCCUGUGUAAACCAGACCUCAAGUCCUUGCAGGCUCAUGUAACUAUCCCCUGAGUGACAGUUUCUGCCAUAGUCAUCAAGUGAUCCUCACAGACCAGAUGAGGAGAGGAAGGACAGAGAUUCUACGAUCAGUGAACUGCCUGGACUUCUGAGCCUUCUGUCAGUUUACCAGGUAUCACUAGAGACGAGGCAUGGGGUUUUCCACAGUGGUGAGGUAACAAAUUCACCACCGGCAUCAUUAACUGGAUCCUCUAUGCUCACUCUCUCCCAUCUCCAGGCAGCAAUUUAAAAUCUUCACUCUCAACAGACAUUCUCACCUAUUUCCAGAGAAAAAUUAAAAAAAAAAAAAAAAAAUCAGGUGGGAGCCGACAACCAACCUCUAGGAGAAGAAAAGCAUAAAUACCAGAAACUAAUCUAAGCCUUUGAAAGGUUUUGUAGGAAGAGGUGUCCUGCCAGGCCUCCAAGUUUGGGGUGCAGGAGCUAGGCCCUCAUGGGCUCAAAGAAAGCGAGGGAGGAGACCUAGAAGAAAGAAAAUAGGGUAAUGCUACCCAUCGAACUAGAGAAGCAGGAAAUGAGGCCUGUGGCCAAACCCUGGUGAUGACAACUAGGAAAAUACCAGAGGAUGCCUCCCCACCCACUCCGCCUCUCCUCUGUCUACGUGGCCUGCUGGGUCCCAAAGUGAGGCCUCGGGCCCAGUCUUCGGUCUGUAUCGAAACAGCCAAGAGCCUAGGGGUGCAAACACAGCCCUCUGAGGCGCGGGAGGCCGAGGGCAGGCGGCUGCAGAGGCCCUUUGGUUACACAUUUGCCUUGCUGACAUAGUUUCUCUGCCCACUCGAUGCAUACAGCAACAUUUUCCAAGGCUUGCCCUUUGCCUGGGGAGAGAGUACUUUCCAGAAAGAGGCACACCAGGGAAUUGGAGUGGAGGAAAGGAACUCGAACUCGUGAGAGUCAGUCGGGCGGGGUGGGGCGGAUUCCAGGCCAACCUGCUUCCCCGCGGGGCCCCGGGCAGGGCGGCAGAGAGGGGGCGCGCUUCCGAAGGACCCCACCGCCGACAUCCCGCCCUCUGCCCUCCCUCCCGCCGCCGCCGGGGAAGGCCAACUCCGCCUGCCUGAGUCACGGCUGAAGCUGGGGAGGAGCCGGGGAAGGCGGCCCCAGCGCAGAACGCAGCCGGCGGCUUCAGCGGGAGCC
rnacentral:lncRNA from 1 species